UACGGAGGAUGCGAGCGUUAUCCGGAUUUAUUGGGUUUAAAGGGUGCGUAGGCGGCUUUUUAAGUCAGCGGUGAAAUUUUGCAGCUUAACUGUAACAGUGCCGUUGAUACUGCAUGGCUAGGAUUUGGUUGCUGUGGGUGGAAUGUGUGGUGUAGCGGUGAAAUGCUUAGAUAUCACACAGAAUAUCAGUUGCGAAGGCAGCUCACAAAGCCAAGAUUGACGCUGAGGCACGAAAGUGUGGGGAUCAAACA
rnacentral:rRNA from 1 species